GUGCUCUCUUUGGCAGCACAGAUACUAAAUUGGAAUGACACAGAGAAGAUUAGCAUGGUCCCUGAGCAAGGAUGACAUGCAAAUGUGUGAAAUGUUCCAUAUUUUA
rnacentral:snRNA from 1 species